GGCUCUGUGGCCUAAUGGAUAAGGCGUCGGUCUCCUAAACCGAAGAUUCAAGGUUGGAGUACUUGCUGGGUCG
rnacentral:tRNA from 1 species